rnacentral:rRNA from 1 species
GACGAACGCUGGCGGCGUGCUUAACACAUGCAAGUCGAACGAAGUGGCGAAAGGGUGAGUAACGCGUAAUAAACCUGCCCUUCAGAGGGGGACAACAGUUGGCAACGACUGCUCAUACCGCAUACUGAAGGAGGGGAGUGCGUCUGAUAAGCUAGUUGGAGGGUUAACGUCCCACCAAGGCGAUGAUCAGUAGCCGGUCUGAGUGGAUGAACGGCCACAUUGGGACUGAGACACGGCCCAGACUCCUACGGGAGGCAGCAUGGGGUAAUCUUCCGCAAUUGACGAAAGUCUGACGGAGCAACGCCGCGUGAGUGAUGACGGCCUUCGGGUUGUAAAGCUCUGUUAAUCGGGACGCGGUACCGGAAUAGAAAGCCACGGCUAACUACGUGCCAGCCGCCGCGGUAAUAC